AAGACUUGAGCUGAGUUUAUUUUCGAUCAUUUCAAACUAAAUGUAGCUUCAAGGAACUUUGAGGUGAAAUUUAUCUUUGGUCGAUCCAGGUAAACGUGCAGUUGCAUCUGAAAUAUAUUCCCUUGUCUUCGAUGGACCGAAUUUUGGAGCGUGGUACUAUACGAGGAAGAUCAAAGGUUCAUCUAUUGUCGAGGUGGCUGGGGUUCUGUCGGAGUCCACGAUCUACAACUGCAUUCAAACUGCAGUUCUGCAUGGCAGCAUGUUCAUGUUCUUGGAGCUCACCAAUCAGCCUGAAAGAUGGGUGCCUUCGGGGUGCAGCCCUGUGCACCUGAUUUCUUGCCAGUGUUGUGAACUGAAGUGCCGCAGGGAACUGGAACAUCGAGACGGUGAGUGCGGCUGUCAGAGGGCUCUGCACGCAGGUGACCGCGCUCUCUCGAUGACGCUGCUAAGUUCCUCUGGCAUUUUGGACGUGUUAAUGAGAAGAGGGCAUGUCCUGGGUGGUGGGAGUCCUUGAAGAUGAGUGCAGCCUUCUUGAGCAUCUGCAGAUUUCCUCGUGUUUGGACAAUAAACCCAUUUCUGAUUCUGAAUCUCAGCAUCCCAAUGUCUGUUGUGUCUCUUAGCUGCUCUCCAGCUCCCACCUCCCUCGGCUGUUAAUUGUGCCUUGCAUGAACAGAAACGUUCCAAAACUUUCACCCACUGGGGAGCUGAGUGAGAGUGCCAGAGCACCGUUCAUUUCAGACCUGUUGGAGGCUGCCGGCAAAUAGAGACUUUUAUCCCAUCAGCGCAAGUUGUGUAGAAACUGGUCAUCCAGAAAGAAUUUGAAAGAAUGGUUUUGAUUUCAUCACGUAAGAACCGAAGCAGAGAAUAGUGGAUGAUAACAUCUCCCGUGACCGAGAGAAAAUGUUCAGUCUCUUUUAAUGCUUACAGUGGAUAGUGUGCCAGCCUUGCACCCCGUCACCUGCCAAAGGUAAUUGCUAUUGUUACAUGGAAAGUGGCUGAAAUUAAUCAAUCAAAUGAAAUCAAUCCAAUCAAAUCCAGUUUAAUUAUCAUUCAAACCAUACAUGGAUACAGUCGAAUGAGACAGCAUUCCUCUGGGGGGCAGGGUGCAUUGCAUGAAUUCAAAGUUGCAAGAGAAUAAAAAGCAAACACACACACACACACACAUCGUUACACAAGAAAAUGCAUGUAAAUUUCAAGACCCUGAGCGACAUGCAAAUUGAUGGUACAGCCUCCCAGCAAUCCAGCCUGUCGUUCUACUCAUUGAACACUGGAGGGCAGCACUGAUGGGAGGAUCCAGCGCCCACCAACUAAGCUCGGAUGCCACGCUACACCGCCUCCAAAAUCCCCUCACCUCGCCUGCAGCAGCAUGCAAGCUCGUGACUUGAAGCCUCGUCCUGACUACAACAGAGGCCACGCUGCCGCCUCGUCACCUGCCCGAACAGCAAACAAGGGAAAGAGGCCUGCGGCAUCUUACGUUAUCAACGUCCGGCAGCGUCCCGAGAUCACAAGAGGAACGCCCAAGACAGUCACUCACGAUAACACCGCACGCUGCUUUCGCUGCCUUUGAGUAGCGGGCAGCAGCGCAUUCUGCACCCAGGUCAGCUCCUCUGAACCAUUCCUGUUGCGUCUUCUGGCUUGUACUUCUCUGACUCGACCUCCAGCUCCUCCUUCUCCAGCCGACCAGUGGCUUCUCCUUCUUCGACCUGUCUACCAGCUUCUCAUCAGCAACAUGCACAAAAUACUAGAGGGACCCAGCAGGUCCAGCAGCACAUGGAAAUGAAUAGAUAGUCGACGUUUUGGACUGAGGCCCUUCCUCAGGACUGAGGGGGGGGGGGAAGAUGCCAGAAUAAAAAGGUAGGGAGAGGGGACUGAAGAUAGCUGGAGGGUGAUGGGUGAACCCAGGCGGGUGGAGUGCUGAAGAAGAAGGACUUUGAAAGGAGCUGGUAGUGGACCAUGUGAGAAAAGGAAGAAGGAGGAGGGGAUAAGAAGGUGAGAAGAGAUAAAAGGUCAAAGUGGGGAAUAGAGGAAGAGGGGUGGGAGAAAAUUUGUUUACCGGAAGGAGAAACCGAUAUUCAUGCCAUAAGGUUGGAGGGUACCCAGACGGAAUGUAAGAUGUUACCACAGCACCCUGAGGGUGGCCGCAUCUCGGCACAAGAGGAGGCCACGGACUGACACACUUCGGAAUUGGAAUGGGAGUGGGAAUUAAAAUGCCUGGCCGCCGGGAAGUCCCACUUGUGACAGACGGUGCAGCGGUACAAUGGUGGAGCAGUCCGCCAACUUACAACGGGUAUCGCCAACGUCGAGGAGCGCUGGACACAUUGGGUGACCUCGGCAGAUUCGCAGGUGAAGUAUUGGCCUACCUGGAAGGACUGUUUGGGGCCCUGAAUGGGGGUGAGGGGCAGCGGUGGUCUGUCUGCAAGGAAAUCUGCAGGGAGGGAGAUUGGCGAAGACAAUGAUCUUUCGUUCACGCUUGGAACAAGAGGGUUGGAUUUAAUAUCAUUUCCUAUUCUUUACCGAGUCAAAGACAUACACUCAGGGAUCACUCCAUUAGAUACUUCCUGUAGCUAAUAAAAUGGCCGCUGAGUGUAUGUUCGUGGUCUUCUGCUGAUUUAGCCAAUCCAUUUCAAGGUUUGACAUGUUACGUAUUCAGAGGUGCUCCUAUACACACUACUGUUGUAAUUUCAGAGGUUUCAAAGGUACAUUUAAUGUCAGAGAAAUGUAUACAAUACACAUCCUGAAAUGCUUUUUCUUCACAAACAUCCACAAAAAGAGAAAAGUGCCCCGAAGGGUGAAUGACAUUUAAAACUUUAGAACCCCAACCCCUCCAGCUCCCCCCUCCCACGCACAAGCAACGACAAGGCAACGACCCCCCCAAUGGCGAGAAAGCAUCUGCAACCCCCCACCAAGCACUGAGGCGUGCAGUAAAUCAUCAUUAAAGACACAGACUUGCAGUAGCCCAAAGACUACUUGUUCACCUGGUAAUUCGACAUACCACAGGAUCUCUCUCUCUCCCUAAUAAGGGAAAAAGAGAUGUCCCCUUGGCUAUUUGAGUUAUUGUGACUAUUUGAGUUACUGUGACCUUCCUGUCUGCAUGAAACAGCCUGGACCUUCUCCUCUGCCCCUCUCAAUAAAAAGGCAUUUUUGCCCACAGAACUGCCACUCACUAGAUGUUUUCUUUUUGUUUUCUACACCAUUCUCUGUAAACUCUAGAGACUGCUGUGUGUGUGUGAAAAUCCCAGGAUGUCAGCAUCUUUUCAGAUACUCAGACCACCCCAUCUGGCACCGACCAGCAUUCCACGGUCAAAGUCAGUUAGAUCGCAUUUCUUUCCCAUUCUGAUGUUUGAUCUGAACAACAGUGGAGCCUCUUGACCGUGUCUGCAUGCUUUUAUGCAUUGGAUUGCUGCCAUGUGAUUGGCUGUUCAGAUAUUUGCAUUAAUGAGCGGGUGGACCUGACAAAGUGGCCAUUGUGUGUACAUCUAUAACACCAUAACACAGAGCAAGCCAAGACGAAUCAGAUUACAGCCAGAAUAUGCAUUAGUAGUAUUUCUCAGAGGAAUGUCACCUUAUCAUGGUGGAGAGGCUUAGGAGUUCCUGCGAUCCUUUCUUUUGCCUUCCUCCCUUUUUAAAGAGUGGGGCGACAUUUGCAGUUUUCCAUUUAAAUUAGUCUAAACCCUCCCAAACCAUGCCAGCAAACCUACCUGCAAGGAUGUUGCUCCUCCUCGAGUUCAGGUGCAACCUAUCCAAUCUGUACAGGUCCCACCUUCCCCACUGAUCCAAAAAUCUAAAACCCUGCCCCCUGCACCAACUCCUCAGCCACGCAUUCAACUGCCAUCUCCCCCAAUUCUUAUCAUCACUAUUACGUAGCACUGGCAGCAAUCCUGAGAACGCCACCCUUGAGGUCCUGUUCUUCAGCCUUCUGCCUAGUUCCCGAAACUCACACUUCAGGACCUCAUCCCUCUUCCUGCCUAUGUCAUUGGUACCAACAUGUAUCACAACUUCUGGUUGCUUUCCUUCUAGUACCAGGAUGUCAUGCACCCAGUCAGAGACAUCCCAGAUUUGAUCACACAACUUCUAUGCAUUAUUAGGUGCAUUUUAUACAGCAGCCUGUGUGUCUUCACCAAGAUCACAGUAAGUAGUGAUAAUUGAAUAAAUUAAUGCUAAUUGUGGUUCAGAUAGAACGCAGGAUGUCAGAGACAACUCCCCUGCAUUGAUGCCAUGUAGGUCUUUUAUUACCCUUUGACAAGGGACAAUGUACUUACCCCAGCAAGCGGCCAAAGUGCUACACCUGCCUGUUCACCUCCUCCCUCACCCUUAUUCAGAGCCUCAAACAGAAUCUGCUGAGAUCAUCUAUUGUGUGCUGUGCCCUCGAUGCAGACUCCUCCACAUUGGUGAGACCUGUGGUAAAUUGGGAGAUCACAUUGUUGUGCACCUCCAUUCCGUCUGCCAAAAACAGAACUUCCUGGAGACCUAACAUUUUAAUUCUGAUUCCCAUUCCCAUUCCAACAUGGCCAUGGCCUCCUCUUGUGCCAAGAUGAGACCACCCUCAUUCUGCCGGGUAGCCCCCAACAUGAUGGCAUGAAUAUCGAUUUCUCCAUCUGGUGAAUAAAUUCCACCCUCCCCUUUCUCUAUUCUCCACUCUGACCUUUCACUUCUUCUCACUUGUCUAUUACUUCCCCCGGGUCCCCUCCUCAUUCCUCUUUCCCUUUCCCCUAUGGUCCUCCCUCCUCUCCUAUCAGAUUCAAAGUACACUUAAUAAAUAAGAAUGUAUUAAUUAUUCAGCCUUGAGAUUUGUCUGCUUACAGGCAGCUUCAAAGAAAGAAACCCAAAAGAAUCCAAAAAAAAAUCUAGACCAACCCUCAACCCUCUCUGCGCACUGAGAAAGAGAGAGAAAAAAAACACAAAUCAUGCAAUCAAUAGAAGCACUCCAAACCAAAUUGAGUCCUUAGAUCCCAGGGCAGCCCCUUCCCUUCUCCAAUCCUUGUCCUUUCCCGUCCACCUGGCUUCAACUCUCACCUUCCUGCUACUCUCUUUCCCCUCCGCCCUCCUUUUUAUUCUGCCACCUUCCCUGAUCCCUCUCAGCUCUGAUGAACAGUCUCAGCCCGAAACGUUGACGGCUUACUCUUUUCCAUAGACGCUGCCUGGCCUGCUGAGUUCCUCCAGCAUUUUGUGUGUGUGUUGCUUUGCAUUUCCAGCGUCUGCAGACUUACUCGUGUUUGUGACAAGGGAAACAGCUUCCGUUUAAUAAUUCAUUGCAGUGGCUUGAUGUGUAUUGCAGUAAACAAUUGAAGUGUCAGGUUUUUUUGGAGCCAGACUGGAGUGUUAACAGCUGAGCCACAUCUGACACCUGCACAAGGCAGCGGGGGAAGCCAGGUACAGGAGCACCGUGGCUAAGUUCAGGACCUGCUCAAAUCCCGCUCUAAGGCAGCUGCAUUUGCACUCAAAUAAAUACAAUAAAGCACAUAGAAUACCACCGAACACCACCCACGAUGAUGUGCUGAGCUUUAAAAUCAACCUACUCCUUCCCUCCUACAUAGCCCUCCGUUUCUUAUAAUCCAUGUGCCUAUCUAAGGGUUUCUUAAGUAUCUCUAAUGUACUUGUGGCUACCACCAACGCAGGUAGCGUGUGCCACACACCCCCAACUCUCUGUGUAAAGAACAAACCUCUGACAGCCCCCUUUAAAUUUUCCUUCAAUCACCUUAAAAUUAUGCCCCCAAAAUUUAUGAAACUGGAGUCCGGAGGACCGGUCUUAGUCUGACCUCUACCCUUUGACCUGUUUGGCAUGGGUGACCCUACCAAGAGCCAAAGGACAAGGCCCUGAUGCCAGCCAACAUCGCUCUCCAAGUCAUUGAGGCACACAAGCCUCCAAACCCUACAGCAAGGUUGAGGUCCUCUUGGAGGCGAGGCAGCGAAAAGUGCAGAAAAAUCUAUGGAGGGGAGUCUGGUUUCUGUCGAAUGCUGAGCUGCGUCCACAGCUUCCUGCAGUUUCUUGCUGUCAUGGACAGAGCAGUUGCCAUGCCAACCAUCUGGACAGUGUUCAUCAUAUCCAUUGUAUCCUGGGUAAUGGACCACCUCACUGGCAGACCACAGUUUGUGCAGCUUCAGAGCUGUGUUGCAGACGUGUCUAUAAACAGCACUGGGACCCAGGGGGAACUGUAUUGACUCCCUUUCCUGUUUACCCUGUAUACUUCGGACUUCAGGUACAACACUGAGUCAUGUCAUCUGCAAAAAUUCUCUGAUGACUCAGCAACGGUUGGGUGUAUAAAGGGAGGAUGGGAGGAUGAACACAGGGCCCUGGGUGGAGGACUUUGACGAAUGGUGCAAGCUGAAUCAUCUUCAUCUCUACGUCAGUAAGACAAAGGAGAUGGUGGUGGUCUUUGGGAAGACCAAGUCUGCACUGCUUCCUGGUACUAUUGAUGGUGAGAACGUGGAUGUGGUGAGGACCUACAAGUACCUGGGGGGGGGGGGGGGCACCUGGAUGACAGACUUGAGUGCAGCGCCAACAAAGAAGGGCCUGAGUUGCCUCUACUUCCUGGGGAGACUGAGGUCCUUUGGAGUAUGCAGGCCCCUCCUUCAUAUGUUCUACCUGUUUAUUGUCGCCAGUGCAAUCUUCAGUGUGGUGGAAUGCUGGGGCAAUGGCAUCAACACGGGUGAUGCCAACAGGUUCAAUAAACUGAUUAGAAAGGCUGGCUCUGUUACAGGAGUCAAACUGGACACACUGGAGGCUGUGGUAGAACAAAGAACCCUCCAGAAAAUCCUGGCAGUUCUGGACAAUGUUUCUCACCCUCCACAUGCCACUUUGGCUGAACAGAGGGGCACUUUCAGUGAUAGACUAAGAUAACCGCACUGCUCCAAAGAGCGGUGUAUGAGGUCAUUCUUACCCUCGGCCAUUAGACUUUAUAAUGAGUCAACCUAUAGGUGGAGGAAUGAUGACUCCCUCCUGUUAGACUGUUAUUAACCUCUGUUUACCAAGCUCAUUUAACUCUGUUUACUACAUCCAGCUAUUGCGGACAAUCUGUGCAAUACUCCCAUCACUUCUUAUCAGGACAGUGCGAACAUGCACCCAUUACUGUACAAUAUUACGGUAAUUCUUGCACUACCAUUUUAUCAGCGUGAAUUUGGAAAUCUUCAAGUCAAGUCAAUUCACUUUUAUUGUCAUUUCAACCAUAACUGCUGGUACAGUACAUAGUAAAAAUGAGACAAAGUUUUUCAGGACCACGGUGUUACAUGACACAGUACAAAAACUAGACUGAACUACAUAAAAAAACAACACAGAGAAAAAAAAAACAACUACACUAGACUACAGACCUACCCAGGACUGCAUAAAGUGCACAAAACAGUGCAGACAUUACAAUAAAUAAUAAACAGGACAAUAGGGCAGUAAGGUGUCAGUCCAGGCACUGGGUACUGAGGAGUCUGAUAGCUUGGGGGAAGCAACUGUUACAUAGUCUGGUCGUGAGAGCCCGAAUGCUUCGGUGCCUUUUCCCAGAUGGCAGAAGGGAGAAGAGUUUGUAUGAGGGCUGCAUGGGGUCCUUCAUAAUGCUGUUUGCUUUGCUGAUGCUGCGUAUAGUGUAAAUGUCCAUGAUGGCGGGAAGAGAGACCCCGAUGAUCUUCUCAGCUGACCUCACUAUCCACUGCAUGGUCUUGCGAUCCGAGAUGGUGCCAUUUCUGAACCAGGCAGUGAUGCAGCUGCUCAGGAUGCUCUCAAUACAACCCCUGUAGAAUGUGAUGAGGAUGGGGGGGGUGGGAGAUGGACUUUCCUCAGCCUUCGCAGAAAGUAGAGAUGCUGCUGGUCUUUCUUUGCUAUGGAGCUGGUGUUGAGGGACCAGGUGAGAUUCUCCACCAGGUGAACACCAAGAAAUCUGGAGCUCUUAACAAUCUCUACCAAGGAGCCGUCGAUGUUCAGCGGGGAGUGGUCGCUCCGUGCCCUCCUGAAAUCGACAACCAUCUCUUUUGUUCACAUUAAGAGACAGGUUGUUGGCUCUGCACCAGUCCGUUAACCGCUGCACCUCCUCUCUGUAAGCUGACUCAUUGUUCUUACUGAUGAGACCCACCAUGGUUGUGUCAUCGGCGAACUUGAUGAUGUGGUUCGAGCUGUGUGUUGCAGCACAGUCGUGGGUCAGCAGAGUGAACAGCAGUGGACUGAGCACACAGCCCUGCAAAUCUUGUAAAUCUUGUAGCCCUGUACAUCUUAUUUUUAAGGUAACUUAUUUUUUCUUACCUCUCUUCCAAUAUUUGUAUGUAUAUCUGUGCAUUUGUAAUGCUACUGUGACACUGUAAUUUCUUUUGGAAUCAAUAAAGUAUCUAUCCAUUUAUCCAUCUAUCUAAUGCUUUCACAUCCUUCCAGUAAUAAGGCGACCAGUUCUGAAAGAACUUAUAUUAAUAUUGGCCAUGAAAUUCUGGAAACAGCAAUGGUCUAAAGAGA